UACGGGCAGCAGUGGGGAAUAUUGCACAAUGGGCGAAAGCCUGAUGCAGCUAUGCCGCGUGUAUGAAGAAGGCCUUAGGGUUGUAAAGUACUUUCAUCGGGGAGGAAAAAACAAAACUAAUAAUUUUAUUUCUUGACGUUACCCGAAAAAGAAGCACCGGCUAACUCCGUGCCAGCAGCCGCGGUAAUACGGAGGGUGCUAGCGUUAAUCAGAAUUACUGGGCGUAAAGAGCACGUAGGUGGUUUUUUUAAGUCAGAUGUGAAAUCCCUGGGCUUAACCUAGGAACUGCAUUUUGAAACUGAAAUACUAGAGUAUCGUAGAGGGAGGUAGAAUUCUAGGUGUAGCGGUGAAAUGCGUAGAUAUCUGGAGGAAUACCUGUGGCGAAAGCGGCCUCCUAAACGAAUACUGACACUGAGGUGCGAAAGCGUGGGGAGCAAACAGGAUUAGAUACC
rnacentral:rRNA from 1 species